AAUCUGAUGCUUCGAUGCCGCGUGAGUGAAGAAGGCCUUUGGGUUGUAAAGCUCUUUUGUAGGGGAAGAUAUGACUGUACCCUAAGAAUAAGGUCCGGCUAACUUCGUGCCAGCAGCCGCGGUAAUACGAAGGGACCUAGCGUAGUUCGGAAUUACUGGGCGUAAAGCGCGCGUAGGCCGUUGAGUUAGUUAAUUGUGAAAUCCCAAAGCUUAACUUUGGAACUGCAAUUAAAACUGCUCGACUAGAGUUUGAUAGAGGAAAGCGGAAUACAUAGUGUAGAGGUGAAAUUCGUAGAUAUUAUGUAGAACACCAGUUGCGAAGGCGGCUUUCUGGAUCAACACUGACGCUGAGGCGCGAAAGUAUGGGUAGCAAAGAGGAUUAGAUACCCUCGUAGUCCAUACCAUAAACGAUGAUUGCUAGAUGUUGGAAAUUUAUUUUCAGUAUCGCAGCUAACGCAUUAAGCAAUCCGCCUGGGGAGUACGACCGCAAGGUUAAAACUCAAAUGAAUUGACGGGGACCCGCACAAGCGGUGGAGCAUGUGGUUUAAUUCGAAGAUACGCGCAGAACCUUACCAACCCUUGACAUGUCUGUCGCGAGUUUAGGAAACUAGACUUUUCGGGUCGGCCGGACAGAACACAGGUGCUGCAUGGCUGUCGUCAGCUCGUGUCGUGAGAUGUCGGGUUAAGU
rnacentral:rRNA from 1 species